GGCUGGGCUAGCUUCAGGAGGGGAAGACGGAUACGAAGUGGAGCCGCGAGGGGCGCAGGCGAGGACUGGAACCUGCGCGGAAGAGAAGGGACCUGUAGGUCCCACACUGGGCUUUGAUGCCUUUCUUGAGACUUCGACGAUGAAGCAGACCUGCAGAAGAGCUGGUGCACUUCGUCACGGAGUUAUUUACAGACCUAGCCAGGAGUCAGAGAAACUGGAGAAGCGGAGAGCCAGCAGAGGCACUGCAUGGUGCGCGAGCUGCCACCCACACCGACCUUCUGCUUCAAUCAUGGCCUCCACGUCACUUCCGCCUUCCAAAGGUUGCCCCCUGAUUUCCGGGAAACAUGGUUCCCGGAACAUAGCCAUAUGGACUUGGUACAAAGCCAACACGGUCCCAAAGGCCUCAGCUAGGGAUUAGGAGCACAGCCCGAGAACAGACUGAGUUUGUCUGUAAUGGUAGAGUCUGCCCCUUGGGGCAUUUGCGUGGGUCCAGUGCAAAGAACUCACACAAAGGCUAAGUUAGUGCUUAUAAACCAGGGCUACUAGGUAACCGAUGCAUAAAAAUGAAUAAAUAUCCACCAUAAAUUUUAAUAAAAUCGUAUUGAAAUGAUCAUUCGUGCUAUUCCAGCAUAUCCCAAACUGGGCAUUAAGAUAUUAACGGGUUUUCUGCCUUAGUUUGCUAGGGCUACCACAGCCAAGUACCACAGAGGGGGUGGGUUUAACAACAGAAAUGUAUUUUCUCACAGCUCUGGAGGCUGGAAGUCUGAGACCAAGGUGUUGUCAAGGUUAGUCUCUUCUGAGGCCUCUCUCCUUGGCUUGUAACUACCUUCUUGCUGUGUGUUCACACAGUCAUCUCUCUGUGCCUGGACCUGUUUGGUAUCUCUGUCUGUGUCCUAAUGUUCUCUUUUUAUAAAGACAUUGUGUUAGGGCCCACUCUGAUGACUCCACUUGAACUUAAUUGGCCCUUUGUAGGUCCUAUCUCCAAAUACAGUCACUUUCUGGGGUAUUGGCAGCUCAGGCUUCAACAUAUGAAUAGGGAAGCCCAUAAUAUUUUUCUAUUAGUACAAUAAAGUUUGAUAAAUGCUACAUGCUAGAUUUUCUUGAAAAUUCACGAAGUACAUUUGUAACGAAAGAUUACACAAGGUCCAGUAAUCAUCUUUUGUAUACGCCAUUGUUUUAUACAUUAUGGGUAAUCCUAAAUUGUCUUUCAUCUUCUAUAUAUUCACUGGGAAUAUGGAACUACUGCAUGGUGAUCUCAUCUGCCAGCUGGGGCUGGUGGUCAGGAAGGGAAGGUGGACAUGAGGUGGAGGAGAGGCCACCCACCCUGGACCCCAGGUCUAUGAAACUGGUCUGUCACCACCUCCACGUCUUCAAAGGCGAUUGGAAUCUGAAAGAGGAUUAAGCAAGGUGGUAUUUUACAGAACAGGAAGCUGACUCAGUGGGUCAACAAAUGGCAUGAUCCUGCCGCUGAUAGGGGGAGAGGCGGUCUCCUGAUCCAAGAUCUGUGCACUUGAACGACACCGCAGACCAAAUAUUACACUAAGAAUUCUGGGCUGUGCACCUGCUUUGCUGGCUGAAAUGGGACUGAGAUGUGGCUGAAACAGCAUGAGAAGAGUGUCUGAAGCUUCCUUUGUUCCCUCGAGUCUGGAAGAUGGGACACGCAGUCUCUCCUCCAGCUUCUUAGAGUCCUGAGUGCGACCGGCAAGGGACAUCCAUUCCCACCGGCUGCAGAGGGAAUCACCAGGUCAGUGCAGUUCAGAGCCAACCUUGGCCUCCAAGAGGCUUCUUAUUUCCUUGCCGUUGCCAGAUAGGAAAGGAAGAAUCUGAAAUCCAAUCCUUUAUCCGGGGAUCGGGAGUCUGACCCUUUCAUAGGCGAGAGAUACAAUCUCACAGUACGUGACUUUCUGCUGGUUUUGUCCAUGAUAAUGAGACCCUAGGAGAAUACACUAACCACUCGGAGAGCUGGAGAACAUUCCAGGAGGAGGGAACAGGAAAUAGAAAGCCCCGAGGAAAGAAUGCACGGGGUGAGUCUCAGAAACAGAAAGGAGACCAGUGUGAGUAAAGCAGGGUCCAGCAAACUUCUCUUGCCAAGGGACCACCUAGUAGAGAUUUCAAGCCUUUGUGAGCUGCUCAGUCUUCGUUCCAACUACUCAGCUCUUUGUAGCACAAAGGCCGCCCUGAAUAAUGGAUACACGA